CACCAAGGCGAUGACGGUUAGCUGGUCUGAGAGGAUGGUCAGCCACACUGGGACUGAGAUACUGCCCAGACUCCUACGGGAGGCUGCAGUCGAGAAUCAUUCGCAAUGGGCGCAAGCCUGACGGUGCGACGUCGCGUGGAGGAUGAAGGUCUUCGGAUUGUAAACUCCUGUCAUGUGGGAGAAGUGGCCCGGGUCUGAACAGGACCUGGGAAUGAUAGUACCACAGGAGGAAGGGACGGCUAACUCUGUGCCAGCAGCCGCGGUAAUUCAGAGGUCCCGAGCGUUGUUCGGAUUUACUGGGCGUAAAGGGAGCGUAGGCGGUUCGGUAUGUCGAAUGUGAAAGCCCACAACUCAACUGUGGAAAUGCAUUCGAAACUGCCGGGCUAGAGUACUGGAGAGGAGAGCGGAAUUCUUGGUGUAGCGGUGAAAUGCGUAGAUAUCAAGAGGAACACCGGUGGCGAAGGCGGCUCUCUGGACAGAUACUGACGCUGAGGCUCUAAAGUUAGGGGAGCAAACAGGAUUAGAUACCCUGGUAGUCCUAACCUUAAACGGUGUACACUUGGUGUGCGAGGAAUUGUCCCUUUGCGCGCCGCAGCUAACGCGUUA
rnacentral:rRNA from 1 species